rnacentral:rRNA from 1 species
AGGAUGUAUAGGUAAAGCUAAAUGUAUCUUUUAGUAGUAAUACAUAUUCGAUUUAUUCGUAUAAAGUUCUAGAUAGAAUUAUGAUAAUGACAUUGUCUAUCUAUAAGUCUUGGCCAAAUUACGUGCCAGCAGUCGCGGUAAGACGUAAAAGACUAGUGUUAUUCAUCUUUAAUAGGUUUAAAGCGUACCUAGACGGUAAAUCAAGCCUUAGGGGACUAAUUUAACUAGAGUUAGAUGUAAGGGUGCAUAAACGUACUGUUGUGUGUAGAGAUGAAAUUCUUUUAUACCAGAUUAUUGGCACGGGUUAAGGCGAAAGCAUCACCUUAUGUAAUAACUGACGUUGAGAGACGAAGGCUUUGUGUCGCGAACAGGAUUAGAUACCCUAAUAGUCUAAGCAGAAAAUGAUGAGUGUCAUAGGCUAAAUAUUAUUUGGUCUAUAAAUGAAAGUGUAAGCAUUCCACCUCAAGAGUAAUUUGGCAACAUUGGAAUUGAAAUCAUUAGACCGUUUCUGAAACCAGUAGUGAAGUAUGUUGUUUAAUUAGAUAAUCCACAAAGAACCUUACCACAAUUUGAAUAUUUUACAAGUGUUGCACGGCUGUCUUCAGUUAAUGUCGUGAGAUUAUGGUUAGUUCCAUUAAAUUAACGUAAACCCUUACUUUAUUUUAUAAAAUAUAAAGUUGUUCGCCGCUAGAUUGGUUAGAUAAAAGGGACUAAGACAAGUCAUCAUGGCCUUAAUAUUGUGGGCUAUAGACGUGCCACAUAUGCCUAACAAAGGGAUGCUAAAUUGCAAAAUUAAGCUAAUCCCCUAAAUACGGAUAUAUAUAUGUCGUGGAUGA